rnacentral:lncRNA from 1 species
GGAUUAUGGAAAGGUUUGAGCGGAGGUUGGCCACUUGGAAGAAGCUACAACAACAACAACAACAAACCCAGUGUAUUCCCACUUUGUGGGGUCUGGGGGGGGUAAGAUGUACGCAGUCCAUACCUCUACCUCUGAUGAAGUAGAAAGGCUGUUUCCGAAAGACCCCCGGCUCAAGUUACGAGAUAUCAAACAAACACAUAGUACAGCACAGAAGCAGAUGACAUAACAUAGAUACUGCAGCCAUAAGGAAUAUAAAACAGAGUAAAGCAGGAAUGCAGGAAUAUAAAGCAGAGGAAAGCACACAGAUUCGUAACAAACAUAGAACACGGAACACGGAACAGAACAUUGAAAUACGGAAUCAUACCAGGAAUACACCCCCCCCAAUUACCUCCCUACAUUAGCGACCCGAACAGGCCCUAAUCUGCAGGAAUAUAAAGCAGAGGAAAGCACACAGAUUCGUAACAAACAGUGAUAAAUAGUGCGCUGGGCAGUUUAAG